rnacentral:rRNA from 1 species
UAGAGUUUGAUCAUGGCUCAGGAUGAACGCUAGCGGCAGGCUUAACACAUGCAAGUCGAGGGGCAUCGGGAGGGAAGCUUGCUUUCCUUGCCGGCGACCGGCGCACGGGUGAGUAACACGUAUGGAACCUGCCCGUAGCAGGGGGAUAAACGGAAGAAAUUCCGUCUAAUACCGCGUAAUAACUCCGAGAGGCAUCUCAUGGAGUUUAAAGGGUAACACCGGCUACGGAUGGCCAUGCGGCGCAUUAGCUAGUUGGCGGGGUAACGGCCCACCAAGGCGACGAUGCGUAGGGGUUCUGAGAGGAAGGUCCCCCACACUGGUACUGAGACACGGACCAGACUCCUACGGGAGGCAGCAGUGAGGAAUAUUGGUCAAUGGGCGCGAGCCUGAACCAGCCAAGUCGCGUGAGGGAAGACGGUCCUAUGGAUUGUAAACCUCUUUUGUCGGGGAGCAAAAGACGCCACGUGUGGCGUUCCGAGAGUACCCGAAAAAAAAGCAUCGGCUAACUCCGUGCCAGCAGCCGCGGUAAUACGGAGGAUGCGAGCGUUAUCCGGAUUUAUUGGGUUUAAAGGGUGCGUAGGCGGACGCUUAAGUCAGCGGUAAAAUUGCGGGGCUCAACCUCGUCGAGCCGUUGAAACUGGGUGCCUUGAGUGGGCGAGAAGUACGCGGAAUGCGUGGUGUAGCGGUGAAAUGCAUAGAUAUCACGCAGAACUCCGAUUGCGAAGGCAGCGUACCGGCGCCCAACUGACGCUGAAGCACGAAGGCGUGGGUAUCGAACAGGAUUAGAUACCCUGGUAGUCCACGCAGUAAACGAUGAAUGCUAGUUGUCCGGGGCGAUUGAGUUCUGGGUGACACAGCGAAAGCGUUAAGCAUUCCACCUGGGGAGUACGCCGGCAACGGUGAAACUCAAAGGAAUUGACGGGGGCCCGCACAAGCGGAGGAACAUGUGGUUUAAUUCGAUGAUACGCGAGGAACCUUACCCGGGCUCAAACGCAGGAGGGAUGUUUUUGAAAGGAGGCAGCCAGCAAUGGUCUCCUGCGAGGUGCUGCAUGGUUGUCGUCAGCUCGUGCCGUGAGGUGUCGGCUUAAGUGCCAUAACGAGCGCAACCCCCACCGACAGUUGCUAACUGGUCAAGCAGAGGACUCUGUCGGGACUGCCGGCGCAAGCUGCGAGGAAGGCGGGGAUGACGUCAAAUCAGCACGGCCCUUACGUCCGGGGCGACACACGUGUUACAAUGGCAGGUACAGCGGGAUGCCAUGGGGCGACCCAGAGCGGAACCCGAAAACCUGUCUCAGUUCGGAUUGGAGUCUGCAACCCGACUCCAUGAAGCUGGAUUCGCUAGUAAUCGCGCAUCAGCCACGGCGCGGUGAAUACGUUCCCGGGCCUUGUACACACCGCCCGUCAAGCCAUGGGAGCCGGGGGUGCCUGAAGGCCGUGACCGCGAGGAGCGGCCUAGGGUAAAACUGGUGACUGGGGCUAAGUCGUAACAAGGUAACC